rnacentral:rRNA from 1 species
UUACGUGGGACGUAAAGCGCAUGCAGGCGUUUGUUAAGUCAGAUGUGAAAGACCCGGGGCGUCAACCUCGGAAUUGCAUUUAGAAACUGGCGAACUAGAGUACUGUAGAGGGGGGUAGGAAUUUCAGGUGUAGCGGUGAAAUGCGUAGAGGAUCUGAAGGAAUACCGGUGGCGAAGGCGGCCCCCUCGGACAGAUACUGACACUCAGAUGCGAAAGCGUGGGGAGCAAACAGGAUUAGAUACCCUGGUAG